rnacentral:tRNA from 1 species
GCCCGCCUAGCUCAAUCGGAUAGAGCGUCAGUCUCUUACUUAUCUGCUAGUGCGGUAUACUGAAAUCUGAAGGCUGCGAGUUCGACCCUCGCGGUGGGCU